GAUUUCUGGUUGGGCGCAUUUGGCCCGCUUCGGUUACGAGGUUGAGUGCCGUUUUGCGCCCGCCAUCCUUCUAGAGUACGACUCUCCCUUUACUGGGUUGGGCCGGAAUCUAGAUCAUUUACUUUGAAAAAAUUAGAGUGUUUAAAGCAGGCUUACGCUAUGAAUACAUUAGCAUGGAAUAAUAAUUUAGGACUUUGGUCUUAUUUUGUUGGUUUCUAGGACUAAAGUAAUGAUUGAUAGGGAUAGUUGGGGGUGCUAGUAUUCAGCGGCCAGAGGUGAAAUUCUUGGAUUCGCUGAAGACUAACUUAUGCGAAAGCAUU
rnacentral:rRNA from 2 species